GUGCGGGGCACGCUCUUGUGGAUGCCCGACCUAAACCUCUGACCUAAACCUCUCCUGCUUCUUUCAUUUGUCCCAGCUCUCUCCUUAGUCUCAGCGUGACGACAACACCUUCUGUGCAAUUGUCCUUUGUACAACUGAAGACUGUUAAAAAAAAAAAAAAAUUCAGGUCUCACCUCCAUGUCUGAGAAGGCCGUGAGAGCUAUUCAUGGAGAUGGGAAUUUGUCUAAUUACCUAGCCAGACUUUGCAUAUCUGAGGUAAUAAAGUCGACCACCUUAUGUUUUAUUCAGUGCCUGGUUUCCAGCCAUUGCUCAAUUUUAUAGUUCCCAUAGAUAGAUAUACUCCAAGAUCUAUGGAUGUUCUUUCAGUAGCAGGUCCGAAAGCAGCAUUAACAAUCAAGGUUCUGGUACCUGUGCGGGCUCAUGGUUGCCUUGGGCAACUCACCACCUCCCCUUUUAAUUUAACUUGUUUUAGAAGAGUUAAGACCCUGGAGGAUAUGCCAAGUGCAUCCUCUAGGAUGCCCCUCUCUCCUCUAACCUGCCAAAGGACUUCCUUAGGUGUGGGUCCACCAGAUAAAGUUCUGCUCCCUCCCUCUGCUCCUUGCAGGAAAUGGUCUUUGCCCUCAACAGAAGCAUCCAGCUGAUCUGUAAGGGUCUGAGGAAAACGCUGAAUAUUCUCUCACAAACCCAUGUGUACAAACAGGAAAAAAGGCCUCUCAUUUUAUCGCCAUACUUUUUAUAUUCUAUUUUAGGUUUUCCUGCAAAUUAUAAUGAAUAUAUGGUUUUUUUUUAUCUUUUUGUGGGAAAUCUGAAAAACAUCCCCACGUAUAAAGAAAGCAAACAUCACCUGAACUUUACAGCAAAUGUAUUGUUUAAAAUCACAUUUCCCGGCUCUAAAUCAGUUGGGGCUGAGCUCAAAGACUCUUUUGGGAAAGACAACAUGAAGUAACCUUCAGGCCAAAGUAUCUCUUUAAAGUCUGACCACUGAUGUUUGGUGUCUAGACUCAGACUCAUUGCAAACUGCCCGGUGUGCCACUCAUUAAAGGGGUACAAAGCAAGCUGGAGAAGCAGCAGGGUCCUAAUUGGUUUUGGGGGCGGGGGGUGGGGGUGGGGAGUCCCAAACUCCGCCCAACGGGUUGUGUUCCUUCCUACUCUUGUGAAACGUUAGGAUGCUCGGAUUUAGGCAAUGCUGCCACCUAGUGGAAACUGAGCUUCAGAAAGACCAAAGCAAAUACACAAAGCAUCUUAUUUAUUCCAGAAAAUCUGCCAAUGGGCCCAUUAACAAGGAGCCCAUGACGACUUCCAGACUGUGAAAGUCUCAGGGUUGUGAGAAUAAAGAAUUAUCAUGCAGCUUAAACCCCUUCCCCACACAUCCGUGCCUAAGCAUUAUCUGUGUUUUCCUUUUGUUCUAGAAUAUCAUAUAACCACAGAAAAUGCUUACCUUUCCCGUAACUAUAGAUAGAAUACAGAAAAGCAGUCAUACUAUGCCGGUCUCACAGUAAAUUCUCACAAGCAGCUACAUCACCCAUGAUAGAUCCAAUAACACAAGAUAACUGAGAACACUACAUUUCAAAUCCGACGAAAGUCUGGAUAAUUAAGUAAGUUGUGUAGGGAUAACUAAUUAACCUCUCCUGGGUGCAAUCUUAGGUCUAUAGUUUAAUCAAAAUAAAUUCUAGAUAAAAUAAGUAUUUAAAUUUUAAAACAUGAGAAUGAAUGACAAAAAUGAAGAAUACUUGUCAUCCCGAUUGGUGAAGAUAGUGUCUUAUUGUGGGGAAUCAAAGCCUUUCCUAAGCGUAAAACCAAAGGCAGGAGUGAAAAAGAAAAGAUGGAUGGGCUGAUACCAGUCUUUAAAAAGAAUGUAAAACUCCUAUACAGUAAAGUAAACAAUAAACC
rnacentral:lncRNA from 1 species